rnacentral:snRNA from 1 species
GUGCUCACUUCAGCAACACAUAUACUAAAAUUGGAACGAUACAGAGAAGAAUAGUAUGGCCCCUGAGCAAGGAUGACAUGCAAAUUUGUGAAGUGUUCCAUAUUUU